GGGUAGCUCAGUUGGUAGAGCAGUGGACUGAAAAUCCUCGUGUCGGUGGUUCAAUUCCGCCCCC
rnacentral:tRNA from 1 species